CCAAGAUCUGGCAUCCUUGGAGAAGCUACAGUAAGUGUGACCAAUUACAUGAGUUCAAGUGCUGCUGUUCCUCUUUCAAUCCCACUCAAUAAGUGCAACCAUGGGACAGUUUUGCAUGUGAGUGUCCAGUGUCUCACACCAAGAGGACAAUUAAGGGUUCAAGAAUCAAGAGAGAGAUACCAAACAAAGGCUCUGAAUGCGGACAAUCAUGAUGCAACUAUUGAGUCUAAUGGAUCUAAUCAUUCAUAUGUACAGAAUGUUGGAUCUCACUCCA